rnacentral:rRNA from 1 species
AUGUACAUUCCUACAACAUUAAUGUAGAAGAUCUUGUAAGAAAUCUGUAGUUAAGUGCACUUGGGCUAGAAUAGUAUUGGGAUGGGUGACCUCGAAGGAAGUCCUAGUGUUUUACAUG